rnacentral:rRNA from 1 species
GAUGAACGCUGGCGGCGUGCCUAAUACAUGCAAGUCGAGCGAACGGACGAGAAGCUUGCUUCUCUGAUGUUAGCGGCGGACGGGUGAGUGACACGUGGAUAACCUACCUAUAAGACUGGGAUAACUUCGGGAAACCGGAGCUAAUACCGGAUAAUAUUUUGAACCGCAUGGUUCAAAAGUGAAAGACGGUCUUGCUGUCACUUAUAGAUGGAUCCGCGCUGCAUUAGCUAGUUGGUAAGGUAACGGCUUACCAAGGCAACGAUGCAUAGCCGACCUGAGGGGGUGAUCGGCCACACUGGAACUGAGACACGGUCCAGACUCCUACGGGAGGCAGCAGUAGGGAAUCUUCCGCAAUGGGCGAAAGCCUGACGGAGCAACGCCGCGUGAGUGAUGAAGGUCUUCGGAUCGUAAAACUCUGUUAUUAGGGAAGAACAUAUGUGUAAGUAACUGUGCACAUCUUGACGGUACCUAAUCAGAAAGCCACGGCUAACUACGUG